rnacentral:rRNA from 1 species
GACGAACGCUGGCGGCGUGCUUAACACAUGCAAGUCGAACGGACCGGUCCUGCUUUUGUGGGGUGCUCGAGUGGCGAACGGGUAAGUAACCCGUGGGUACGCUGACAUUGACUUUGGGUUUACCUAAGGCAAAUGGUACUCAUACGGGGUAGGAGUUACCGCCGUUAGGUGGGGGUUCGACAGUUUCGGCGGUUGGGGAUGGGCUCGCCGCUUAUCGGCUAGUUGGUGGGGUUGUGGCUUACCAAGGCUCAGCCAGGUAGCCGGCCUGAGAGGGUGAACGGCCACAUCGGGACUGAGAUGCGGCCCAGACCCCUACGGGAGGCAGCGGUGGGGAAGAGUGCACAACGGGCGGAAGCCUGGUGCAACAACGCCGCGUGGGGGAAAACGUCCAGCGGUUAGGAUAGCGCUUUCGCCUGUGACGAAGCGUGAAUGACGGUAAUGGGUAAAGAAGCACCGGCUAACUACGUG